CCGCGCGAGGAUGGGGCUGCGUCCCAUCAGGCAGUUGGUGGGGUAAUGGCCCACCAAACCUAUAACGGGUACGGGCCGUGAGAGAGGGAGCCCGGAGAUGGGUUCUGAGACACGAACCCAGGCCCUACGGGGCGCAGCAGGCGCGAAACCUUCGCACUGCGCGAAAGCGCGACGAGGGGAGCCCGAGUGCCUCUCCAUUUCGGGGAGGCUUUUCACAAGCCUAAAAAGCUUGUGGAAUAAGGGCUGGGCAAGACGGGUGCCAGCCGCCGCGGUAAUACCCGCAGCUCGAGUGGUGGUCGCUUUUAUUGAGCCUAAAACGUUCGUAGUCGGCCUUGUAAAUCCCUGGGUAAAUCGGACCGCUUAACGGUUCGAAUUCCGGGGAGACUGCAAGGCUAGGGACCGGGCGAGGUCAGAGGUACUUUCGGGGUAGGAGUGAAAUCCUGUAAUCCCGAAGGGACCACCUGUGGCGAAAGCGUCUGACUUGAACGGCUCCGACGAUGAGGAACGAAGGCUAGGGGAGCAAACCGGAUUAGAUACCCGGGUAGUCCUAGCUGUAAACUCUGCCCGCUUGGUGUGGCCUGUCCUUCGGGGGCAGGCUGUGCCGGAGCGAAGGUGUUAAGCGGGCUGCUUGGGGAGUACGGCCGCAAGGUUGAAACUUAAAGGAAUUGGCGGGGGAGCACCGCAACGGGAGGAUGCGUGCGGUUUAA
rnacentral:rRNA from 1 species